GGUAGAGCUACUGGAUGGCCGAUGGGCCUUCACGGGUUACUGACGUCAGCUAAACUCCGAAUGCCGGUAAGUGAGAGCGUAGCAGUGAGACAGUGGGGGAUAAGCUUCAUUGUCGAGAGGGAAACAGCCCAGACCACCAACUAAGGCCCCUAAGCGUGUGCUAAGUGGGAAAGGAUGUGGAGUUGCUUAGACAACCAGGAGGUUGGCUUAGAAGCAGCCAUCCUUGAAAGAGUGCGUAACAGCUCACUGGUCAAGUGAUUCUGCGCCGAUAAUGUAGCGGGGCUCAAGUACACCGCCGAAGUUGUGGCAAUGACCUUUUGGGGUUGUUGGGUAGGGGAGCGUCGUGUGGCCGUUGAAGCUGCGGUGUAAACCAGUGGUGGAGGCUAUGCGAGUGAGAAUGCAGGCAUGAGUAGCGAAAGAUGAGUGAGAAACUCAUCCGCCGGAUGAUCAAGGGUUCCAGGGUCAAGUUAAUCUGCCCUGGGUUAGUCGGGGCCUAAGGCGAGGCCGACAGGCGUAGUCGAUGGAUAACGGGUUGAUAUUCCCGUACCGGUGAAAAACCGCCCAUACUGAUAUUGUGAUGCUAACCAUGCGAAGCAUGAUGUGCAGGCUUUUGUUUGUGUGUUGUGUGGGUUGUGGGACCCGAUCUUUGGAGGUAAACGUGUUAACAGGUGUGACGCAGGAAGGUAGCCAAGCCACGCGAUGGUUGUCGUGGUCUAAGCGUGUAGGGUUGUCGGUUGUUAAAUGCGCCGGCUGUGUGCCUGAGACGUGAUGGGACCCUGUUUUUGGGGGAUUUGGUGAUCCUAUGCUGCCGAGAAAAGCAUCGGCGUGAGGUUUUAGCCGCCCGUACCCUAAACCGACACAGGUGAUCAGGUAGAGAAUACUAAGGCGAUCGAGAGAAUCAUGGUUAAGGAACUCGGCAAAAUGCCCCCGUAACUUCGGGAGAAGGGGGACCUUGAGCGUGAUGGGCACUUGCUGUCUGGAGCGUGUAUGGGUCGCAGAGACCAGGGGGAAGCGACUGUUUAUCAAAAACACAGGUCCGUGCGAAGUCGUAAGACGAUGUAUACGGACUGACUCCUGCCCGGUGCUGGAAGGUUAAGAGGAUUGGUUAGCCCUUUUUGGGCGAAGCUGAGAAUUUAAGCCCCAGUAAACGGCGGUGGUAACUAUAACCAUCCUAAGGUAGCGAAAUUCCUUGUCGGGUAAGUUCCGACCUGCACGAAUGGAGUAACGACUUCCCUACUGUCUCAACCAUGAACUCGGCGAAAUUGCAGUACGAGUAAAGAUGCUCGUUUCGCGCAGCAGGACGGAAAGACCCCGUGACCUUUACUAUAGUUUGGUAUUGGUGUUUGGUUUGGCUUGUGUAGGAUAGGUGGGAGACUGUGAAGCAUGGACGCUAGUUUGUGUGGAGUCGUUGUUGAAAUACCACUCUGGUCAAUCUGGAUGUCUAACUUCGGGCCAUGAUCUGGUUCAGGGACAGUGCCUGAUGGGUAGUUUAACUGGGGCGGUUGCCUCCUAAAGUGUAACGGAGGCGCCCAAAGGUUCCCUCAGCCUGGUUGGCAAUCAGGUGUUGAGUGUAAGUGCACAAGGGAGCUUGACUGUGAGAGUGGCGACUCGAGCAGGGACGAAAGUCGGGACUAGUGAUCCGGCGGUACGUUGUGGAACGGCCGUCGCUCAACGGAUAAAAGGUACCUCGGGGAUAACAGGCUGAUCUUGCCCAAGAGUCCAUAUCGACGGCAUGGUUUGGCACCUCGAUGUCGGCUCGUCGCAUCCUGGGGCUGGAGUCGGUCCCAAGGGUUGGGCUGUUCGCCCAUUAAAGCGGUACGCGAGCUGGGUUCAGAACGUCGUGAGACAGUUCGGUCCCUAUCCG
rnacentral:rRNA from 1 species